rnacentral:rRNA from 1 species
CCUACGGGCGGCUGCAGUGGGGAAUAUUGGACAAUGGGCGAAAGCCUGAUCCAGCCAUGCCGCGUAUGUGAAGAAGGCCUUCGGGUUGUAAAGCACUUUCAGUGGGGAAGAAAGCCUUGGGGCUAAUACCCUCGAGGAAGGACAUCACCCACAGAAGAAGCACCGGCUAACUCCGUGCCAGCAGCCGCGGUAAUACGGAGGGUGCGAGCGUUAAUCGGAAUUACUGGGCGUAAAGCGCGCGUAGGCGGUCUGAUAAGCCGGUUGUGAAAGCCCCGGGCUCAACCUGGGAACGGCAUCCGGAACUGUCAGGCUAGAGUGCAGGAGAGGAAGGUAGAAUUCCCGGUGUAGCGGUGAAAUGCGUAGAGAUCGGGAGGAAUACCAGUGGCGAAGGCGGCCUUCUGGACUGACACUGACGCUGAGGUGCGAAAGCGUGGGUAGCAAACAGGAUUAGAUACCCUGGUAGUC